GUCAGAACUUCCAGCCCAGUCCUCAAAGUCCCACACGAUCCACACACUCGCCUGACAGUGAACACACAGAGUCUACCUCAUCUCUGUCUCCCAUGGGCUGCACUACCAGCUCCCGAGAAGGCCCUAGUCCAAUCUCCCUUCCCGCAGCCCUGCUUAGCCCCCUGUCGUUACCUGAUCGAUAGUGAUGGUCCGGCCAUGGUGGGAUGUCCCGGUCCCCUCUUUCUCUAUCUCUCUCUGUCCCUCCGUACCAAAUGAGUGGUUCUCUCCGAUCGCCCUUCCGUUGUCAAUCUGGCCACACACCGCUCUUUGCUCCCUUUAUCCCGAGAACCGAACGGAAGGAGGCUUGAGGAGCGCGCAUGUCUGUGGCGCAGCGGGCACAUCGCCUGCGCUGUGCGUCUCAGAAGCAAUGGACCGCGGAUUUUGGACGUCUCCAACCUUCCCCGUUUGGUUCCAAGCCCAACAGCGUUCUGCUAGAGCAUCAAUUCAAGUGUCACCUGUAGCCCUGUGGGAAAACACAAAACCAAACCCUUACCUGAGUGUUGAGCAGGUGAUCUGGACACUAGAGCAACAAAAGGCGGCUUACCGGCAUCUCUCUUCGACCCGCUCCGUCCCUGCAGGCACCGGACCACAGAUAAAAACAACUACCGGACCGGGACUUCUGACCGACUUCAGCCGCCGGUUCCUUCAAACUCCACUCAUAGGACAAAACAGCUCUGAUAUUGAGUUAUAGGCCUACAACGCGUUAGAGUUUGUAUUAGAUUGUUUGGUGAACUUUUGAGGGUGACAACAGGUGUGUUUCCUUGGUUUACCACUGACCCCUGGACAGUCUAUCGGAUAUAGCCUAACGGUCGGAGCCUAGUGGGAAUAACAACCACAACAGCAACAACAGGAGCAACAACAGCAGCAGAACGAUAUUAGAGCAUUAAAGGCGAGGGUGCCGGACGAAUACGAGAAGUGGAAAAAAGAGCGAGAG
ensembl:lncRNA